rnacentral:lncRNA from 1 species
GAGAGGAUCUCACGCCACAUGCAGGCGGAGAACCUCAGGCCAGCAAGGAAGCCAAACGAGGUGAGCUUCAGGGAAGCCUCCAGCAGUGAGAGCUUCGGAACAGGAAGUCAUCAGGUGCAACGGUGAACUUCCGGGAGAGGCACUGCAGCCUCAGUAGCUCUGUGUGAGCGAGUUAUCCCUCCGUGAUCGAGAAGGGAAGAAAAAAUAGAAUAGCUGAGUGUAUGCUUGUAUUAAUGUGUUUGAGUGUGUUAUUGUAUCAGCUAGUUUGAUUUGAGUAUUUUAAUGCUUUCGCAUAUUUUAUAAGUUGCGCACUCUACAAUUAAUAUCAAAGCAAU